rnacentral:rRNA from 1 species
UAAUACGUAGGUGGCAAGCGUUGUCCGGAUUUAUUGGGUUUAAAGGGUGCGUAGGCGGCCUGUUAAGUCAGUGCUGAAAUAUCCCGGCUUAACCGGGAGGGUGGCAUUGAUACUGAUGGGCUUGAGUGGAGUCGAGGUAGGCGGAAUUGACGGUGUAGCGGUGAAAUGCUUAGAUAUCGUCAAGAACACCGAUAGUGUAGACAGCUUACUAGGCUCAAACUGACGCUGAGGCACGAAAGUGUGGGGAUCAAACAGGAUUAGAUACCCUGGUAGUCCACACUGUAAACGUUGAUGACUCGCUGUUGGCGAUACACAGUCAGCGGCUUAGAGAAAUCGUUAAGUCAUCCACCUGGGGAGUACGCCGGCAACGGUG